AAGAAAUGAUCCCUGCACAGAUUCUGGAGCCUGUCUAGAAGGAGACAGGCCGCCCUCACUCGGCAAGCUUGUUAUUCAGCGCCCACCAUAUGUCAGGUGCUCUGGGAACCCACAAGAAUCUCCAUUGAAGAUGAGGGGAUGGUUGGAGAUGAGAAGACUUGGGGGGAGGGACUGAUCCCUGUGGAAGAGCUGAGAUAGAACAAGGGACUGGACUUGGUCUCCCUGACUGGUUCUCCUCAGACCUGAUCUCUGCCAGGCCCACGCUGCCUCGUCGGACCCUCACAGCCCAAAGCCUCAUCUUGUGCUCCAACUGCAGAUGUGCCCAGUUCUUCCCCACUCUUAAAAAAUCCUCCCUGGGUCCCAUGAGUCCCAUAAGGUGGCAUUCUACAGCUCUUUUCCCCUUCUCAGUCAAACUCCUUGAAAAAGCCAUGGAUGUUCAGUGUUUUCCCUUUCUCCUCCCUUCUCCCAAGCGCCCCUUAGUCGGCCGAGGCUGCUCUCUCCAAAGCUGUCCGGGAUCUGCUCCUCUGCCAUUCUGGACCUCUCUGUGAUGGUCAGCACUCAGUCACCACCUGGAUUCUCCUUUUGGUUUUUCUGGAUCCUGUUCUCUUCUGGCUCUUCUCCCCCCUGGCUGCCACUUUCUCUCCAUCUCCUUUGCUGGAUCUUCAUGUUAGUCAUGGCUUCUAGUCGUGAGUGUCCCUUGCUCCUCUGUUCUGGGCCUUCUCUUCUCCCUCUACUCACUUAUACUCAGUGAUCUCGGUGGAUCACGAGGGUUUAGCUCUCUGUUACUUGAUUCCUGGAUCUAUUGAUACAGACCUCACUUCCCUCCUGAGCUCCAGCCUCACGUCACCAGCUGUGAACAGUACAUUUUGAACUGGAUUUCCAAGAGGCAUUUCAGAGUCAUGUCCCAAACAGAGGUCAACAUCUCCCUCACCUCUGGACACCACCUUGCCAUCACUUUUCCACUACUGCCAGGGCUGCCAUCAUCCUUGCAGCCUCCCAGGUUUGGACUACAGAGCCGUUCCAUCCCUCGCCAGUGAGACCUGGGCUCCCAUCCUGCUUCUGACGAAUCCUAGCAGUGUGACCUUUCCCCUUCCAGUUCCACGAGUAACUAAGACCCCAAGGAGGGAAGCUGCCGAUCUUUUGUCAGUGGGACAAGUUUACACACUGGGAAUUGCUCACAACGAUGAGAUCGCAGAAAAAGGGCACUGGGUCACCAUUAACAGCUUUGACAGAGGAGGCAGCAUUUUCUGAAAUGAUGAUUGCUUUUGGAGAAUUAAAGUACAAUAGAGGUGAGCAGGUGACCUUCGGGUCAUAACUUCACCAAAAGUGGGUCCGGUUAACUGUCUUCUGAAGGCAGAGGUUUGAAGAAUCAUGGCUCCUUUUAGGCGAUACUGGCUAAAGUGAAUAGCAGGUGGUAGGAAGCAUCUUAUAUCAAGGGCAAACUAUGGUCAGUGGGGGAAGCUAGGCCUUUUGUCUCAAAAUUAGAAGUCCUAGAGGGUUAAAUUGAUUCGUGUACACAUGGCCCAGCUGCAUUAGGUUAACGUGAAGUGAUGGCAUCACUUGUAUUUUACAAGGAAAAACAGUUUAUAAUUUAGCUCUAUGUUCAAGUCUAGGGAUGAGGCUGCCUUGCAAGUCAGAAUCCUGGGCCCCGGAUCUAGAUGAUGUUAUUAAAAUGAACAUCUCUGCUGUUGCCUUGAUGGUCCCAUCAAAGGAGAUCGUGUGAACCAGACUCUCGUUCACUGACCAAAUGUGACAAGGGUCUGAAUUAAUUUUUUGGAUUGGCUUCGGGGACAGUCUCUGAGAAUGGCUUCAUCUGUAAUGGACCGGAAAUCACUUUGGGAUGGCAGCGCUUUCGUGUUUGGAGUGUUUCCCCAGCAUUCUGUGCACCUUCAGUCAGGCUACCUUUCUCAUGUUGGAAGGAAUAAUAAAAGGCCUUUCUAGCCUUCAGUUACCACUAAAUACUGUCAUUACAGUACUACCCAGUAUCGGAGAGGGAGUUCUGCUGUGAAUCAGGCUAGAGGCCGUCUUCAUUCUCCACCAAACCUCAGAGGUGAAAGCAAAUGUGGAGGCCCCUGCAUCUGUGCCCACUAAGAAUCCUGAGUAGCCAGACUCAGUCUGUGUGAAGACUUCCCUGAUUGAAAGAGCUCCAUGUUUGGAAGCACGAAGGCCGGAGUUCAAAUGUGGCCUCAGAUUUAUUUACUGGUUGCGUGGCUGGACAAGUCCCAUCACCCUGUCUGCCUCAGUUUCCCCAUCUGUAAGUUGAGCUAGAGAAUGAAAUGACAGCACUCUAGUAUCUUGACCAAGAAACUCCACAUGGAGCCAUGGAGUGUCAAACAUGACUGAAACAUGACUGAACAAGAGGUACAAUUGCUCCCUACCCCUCGAAACAGAGCAUCAUUAGGAAUUGCCUCAGCUGGCCUCCACACUUUCCAUUCAUUACAAAGAGAGCCAUCGAGUCUCUCAGUCAUAAUCCUUCAGAUACCCCAAAACAGCAUUACUAAAUGCCUCUUGUUUCCAGGGCCCCAGGGAUACCAAGACCAAAUAGUCUCUGCCUUUCACAACCUUAGGCUUUUUUUAGGGGGAUACAAUCUGUGUAAAGAUAAGGAGUCUGAAAGGAAGUAGCCAACAAGGAGGAGAAAAUCAGGAAGAGAACAGGGUCCAGAAAAACCAAGGGGAGAAUCCAGGUGGUGAUUGUGGUGCUGACCAUCACGGAGAGGUCCAGAAUGUGGAGGAGUGGAUCUGGUGGUGAGGAUCCCUGACAGCUUUGGAGAGAGCAGUCUUGGCCGACUAAGGAGGCUUGGGAGAAGGGAGGACAAAGGGAAAACACUGAACAUCCAUGGCUUUUUCAAGGAGUGAGAAGGGAAAGAGCUAUAGAAUGCCAGCUCGUGGGGUUUGUGGGACCCCGGAAGGAUUUUUUAAGAGUGGGGAAGAACUGGGCACAUCUGCAGUUGGAGCACAAGAUGCCCUGGGCUGUGAGGAUCUGAGGAGGCAGCGCGGGCCUGGCAGAGAUCAGGUCCGAGGAGAACAGUCAGGGAGACCAAGUCCAGUCCCUCUUUGUAUCUCAGCUCUUCCACAGGGAUCAGGUGCCUCUUCCCCCAAGUCUUCUCAUCUCUAACACCCCUCAUCUUUCAGUGGAGAUUCUCGUGGUGUCACAGGGUGCCUGACACUUGGUGAGUGUUGAAUAACAAACUUGCCCAUUUGAUUCUUCUCAGGGGUAAAUAUCCCCUGUUCCUUCAACAGAAUCUCAUGUGACAUGAUCUUAAGGUCCAUCACAUAUCAUUUAAUAAUAAAGUGCCCAGCGCUGUGUCGAACUCCUUCUAAACAUCAUCUCAUUUGAUCCUCACAAGAACUUUGCCAGCCUGGUCAUUCUGUGAUGGAGGAAAGCAACGAUAAUCAUUAUCAUCCAACUCUUACUUUUUCCAUCAGAAUAGUAGAGAAGGAUAUCUCACAUACUGUCUAUACAGUCUUCUGACACCUUAACUCCCCACCAUGUACUCUUGGAUCCAGUGACUCCGGCCUCCUGUCUUCUUCAAACAAGACCCUCCAUGUCUGGGCUCUGGGCAUUCUCUUCAGCUGUCCCCCAAACCUGGAACGCUGUCCCUCCAUCUCUCUGCUGACUUCCCUGCCUUCCUUUAAGUACCAAUUAAAAUCCUACCUUCUACAGGAAACCUUUCCCAACACCUCUUAAUUCUAGAGCCUUCCCUUUGUCAGUGAUUUCCUAUUUAUCUUGUAUAUAACUUGAUUUAUAUGUUUGUUUACAUGUUGUCUUCCCAUUAGAUGUAAGCUCCUUGAGGGCAGGGACUGUCUCUUGCCUUUUUUUUUGUAUCCCCAGGGCUUUGUAUCCCCUGGCACAUAGUAGGUGCUUAAUAAAUAGAAUUAUUUAUUGUU